ensembl:snoRNA
CCAGCACUUUCAUAGCUCCCCACUUAGCCAGUGGGGCCAGGAUUUGGUAGCUGGUGCUGACAGAAAACCCUUGAUUACAUCCUUGCCCUAAUGCUGUACCAGUGGCAGCUAUCUCUCUAGGGAACAGAU